UGGAUCCAGAUUUGAUUCUGGCUCAGGAUGAACGCUAGCGACAGGCUUAACACAUGCAAGUUGAGGGGCAGCGGGGCUGAAGCUUGCUUCAGCCGCCGGCGACCGGCGCACGGGUGAGUAACACGUAUGCAACCUGCCCUAUGCAGGGGGAUAACCGGAAGAAAUUCCGACUAAUACCGCAUAACACAAGGAGAAGACAUCUUCCCCUUGUCAAAGGAAGUGAUUCCGGCAUAGGAUGGGCAUGCGGCGCAUUAGCUGGUUGGCGGGGUAACGGCCCGCCAAGGCGACGAUGCGUAGGGGUUCUGAGAGGAAGGUCCCCCACAUUGGUACUGAGACACGGACCAAACUCCUACGGGAGGCAGCAGUGAGGAAUAUUGGUCAAUGGGCGGAAGCCUGAACCAGCCAAGUCGCGUGAGGGAAGACGGUCCUAUGGAUUGUAAACCUCUUUUGUCGGGGAGCAAAGCCGUUCUCGUGAGAGCGGAAGGAGAGUACCCGAAGAAAAAGCAUCGGCUAACUCCGUGCCAGCAGCCGCGGUAAUACGGAGGAUGCGAGCGUUAUCCGGAUUUAUUGGGUUUAAAGGGUGCGUAGGCGGAACCUUAAGUCAGCGGUAAAAUGUCGGUGCUCAACGCCGGCCGGCCGUUGAAACUGAGGUUCUUGAGUGAGCGAGAAGUAUGCGGAAUGCGUGGUGUAGCGGUGAAAUGCAUAGAUAUCACGCAGAACUCCGAUUGCGAAGGCAGCAUACCGGCGCUCAACUGACGCUGAGGCACGAAAGCGUGGGGAUCGAACAGGAUUAGAUACCCUGGUAGUCCACGCAGUAAACGAUGAAUGUUAGCUGUCCGGGACUUCGGUCCUGGGUGGCACAGCGAAAGCGUUAAACAUUCCACCUAGGGAGUACGCCGGCAACGGUGCAACUCAAAUGAAUUGACGGA
rnacentral:rRNA from 1 species